rnacentral:rRNA from 1 species
AGUAAAUAGAUACCCGGGUAGUCCACGCCGUAAACGAUGUCGACUUGGAGGUUGUGCCCUUGAGGCGUGGCUUCCGGAGCUAAACGCGUUAAAGUCGACCGCCUGGGGAGUACGGCCGCAAGGUUAAAACUCAAAUGAAUUGACGGGGCCCGCACAAGCGGUGGAGCAUGUGGUUUAAUUCGAUGCAACGCGAAGAACCUUACCUACUCUUGACAUCCAGAGAACUUAGCAGAGAUGCUUUGGUGCCUUCGGGAACUCUGAGACAGGUGCUGCAUGGCUGUCGUCAGCUCGUGUUGUGAAAUGUUGGGUUAAGUCCCGCAACGAGCGCAACCCUUAUCCUUUGUUGCCAGCGGUCCGGCCGGGAACGUCAAAGGAGACUGCCAGUGAUAAACC